UUAUACGGAACACCAGUGUCGAAGGCGCCUUUCUGGACUGUAACUGACGCUGAGGCUCGACAGCUUUGGGAUCAAAC
rnacentral:rRNA from 1 species